ACCUGUAGCCGCUCGCUUAUACUAUUUUGAGGUUAUAAGCUCGCUUCUACAGGAUU
rnacentral:pre_miRNA from 1 species